GAUGAAGAACGCAGCGAAAUGCGAUAAGUAGUGUGAAUUGCAGAAUUCAGUGAAUCAUCGAAUCUUUGAACGCACAUUGCGCCCUUUGGUAUUCCAAAGCGCAUGCCUGUUCGAGCGUCAUUUGUACCCUCAAGCUUUGCUUGGUGUUGGGCGUCUUGUCUCUAGCUUUGCUGGAGACUCGCCUUAAAGUAAUUGGCAGCCGGCCUACUGGUUUCGGAGCGCAGCACAAGUCGCACUCUCUAUCAGCAAAGGUCUAGCAUCCAUUAAGCCUUUUUUUCAACUUUUGACCUCGGAUCAGGUAGGGAUACCCGCUGAACUUAAGCAUAUCAAUAAGCGGAGGA
rnacentral:misc_RNA from 1 species